rnacentral:rRNA from 1 species
UACGUAGGGGGCAAGCGUUGUCCGGAAUCAUUGGGCGUAAAGAGCGUGUAGGCGGCCCGGUAAGUCCGCUGUGAAAGUCCAGGGCUCAACCCUGGGAUGCCGGUGGAUACUGUCGGGCUCGAGUCCGGAAGAGGAGUGUGGAAUUCCUGGUGUAGCGGUGAAAUGCGCAGAUAUCAAGAGGAACACCUGAGGUGAAGACGGGUUGCUGGGCCAACACUGACGCUGAGGCGCGAAAGCCAGGGGAGCAAACGGG